rnacentral:sRNA from 1 species
AACUUUAACGACUCACACUUACCGACACAUUGGCUUGGGUGCCUGUUUUUUUUCAAGCGGGUUAGACAAUGGGGUGGUGGAGGCUUAAC